UGAUUAGGUGGGAGGUGGCACUUACCUGGUUUGGUGUGCUGGCUUGCCGUUGGAUGUAGUGUUCCUAGUGAUGCGUAGAUAAACAGGAGCGUGCACGCACAGAGACAGAAUCCAAUUGCAUGGCUGGAAGAGCGACGCACAUCACCGGUUUAUAACCUGCUGUGUUUCAAGUGUGAAAUCAAGAAAGAAAAUAAACAACAUUUGGACACUGAGUUGUAACCAAGUCUCGCUCUUCUAGCGACCCUUUUCGGUGGGGAUAAAUUA